ensembl:lncRNA
UGUUCUCUAAGGGUUCUCUGCUGUUCUCUAAAGGUUCUCUAAGGGUUCUCUAAGGGUUCUCUGCUGUUCUCUAAAGGUUCUCUAAGGGUUCUCUGCUGUUCUUUGAGGGUCAGUUCGUUUCAUUUGGUUCAAUGCCAUACUGUCACUGCCGACUGGGUUCCCGUGUAGGUAGCUAGUGGGAGUGAAAUGGGAGUGGGUGAUUUGAGGUGGUGGCCUAUGAGGGCUAUUCUGGUGUGAUUUAAAGUAAUUAGUUUUACGCUUUUUAGCAUCAACUUUACUUUACAGAGGCUGAGACAUGUCAAGCAAACGGUACUUUUGUUAUUUAAAAAAUAUUAUUAUUUAUUUUGUCUUUUGUACUUUUUUAAUUAUUUAUUUUAAAUAUUAUUAUUUAUUUAUUUAUGACUGUCUUCCCUGUGACAAUAAAAGGGGUAACAGAAUGAAGUGAUCACAGAUUGCUAUGAGUAAUUUUUUUUUCAUGUGUGUGAUCCAAUCAAGACUAUGGAGACUGC